UUUAUUUAUUUAAGUGUGAUGUCUUUCAUUAAAAAAAUAAGUUGAUUUGUCAUAGAAAACAAUAUUUCCACUAGUUUUGAGGCAAAGACAAUUUGAAGAUUCAAUAACAGACUUUAUAAUCGUGGAAGUUUUUUUUUAUGGUGGAUAUUUUUUGGAGUGUUUGGAGUAGCGGUGUUGUGAUGACAAUCGUGCUGAUUGGCAAUCCAACACAUCCUGGUGUCUCACUGCUGCACCUGUUACUUCCACAAAUAGUCUACCUGCCAACAUCCCGGAGAGGCACAAACAAGACUCGUCAACCAGAUGGCCGCUGCUAAGAUAUUUCACAGGGUCAGCUAGCCUAAGUUUAGCAGGUGAGAGGAGUGAGAAAGAAGAAAAAUGUCAUCACAGAGACCCAACAAAGACUUUCAAGUGGAGGGAAAAAGAAAGCACAUUGCUCUGAAUUGAGCAACUGCAGACAAAUGAAAACAAGCAAACAAAAACAUUAA